rnacentral:lncRNA from 1 species
AAGUUACGGGGACUACGUUGCAGCGUACGUCUUAUGCCUAGGCCAAUCGACCGACACGCUGCGCGGUUUCGUCCCCACGCAUGCCCUCCGUCCUGCAUCGUUGUGCCUCACGACGGUCUCGAUUCGGGACAAUUUCGUACCAACCGAUCGGACAUUGGGAAGUUGCGAGCACUACGUUGCAACGUGCGUCUUAUGCCUAGGCCAAUCGAUCGACACGUCGCGCGGUUUCUUGUCC